GUAUACCGGUUGUUGUGUUAUUUGCAGUGAGGUGUUUUUGCAUUGCAAAUAGUUACAAAACUAACAAAACUUGGACGUCCUCCCCGGGGCGUUCACAUCUUUGUAGUGGUGUUUCUUAUCCGUUGGUACACAGCACAACAAUGAAACGGAUCGCUCACAACAAACCGGUUGUUUUUUUUU
rnacentral:telomerase_RNA from 1 species